AAGUCGUAACAAGGUUACCUUCUGUAGCGCAGCUCCGGAGACCUUGCACCCCGUAAGGGAGGCAGCACGACAGUAAACAAAGCUCGCCGCGUGCAAGUUGGCUUAGUAGUCAGCAACACAAUCGAAUUGACGGGGACCUCCUAAAGCCUGCAACACCACCCGUCCGGGGAAACUCGGGCGAGGCCCUCACGGGGUGGUAAGAGAGUGCAGGAUGAACAAUGGACGAUCCGCAGCGAAGACCCUACCGGCGAGAGCCCACGGGUAUCGUUCACAGACUAAGUGAUUGUGGGCAGGGCAUCGUGCUCCGUCUAAGAUAUAGUCGGCCUCUGCCCGAAAGGACAGAGUAUAGCGUGUCCGUAGGUGAACCCUGCGGAAGGAUCAUUAAAGAAUCGCCCCGUUUUUUGAAAUGGGUUCCAUUCCUAAACCGUGUUUAUAUACCUUUGUUGCUUUGGCAGGCCGCCGUUUAGGCGUUGGCUCCGGCUAACUGCGCCUGCCAGAGGACCCAAACUCGUUUAUUUUAGUGAUGUCUGAGUACUAUAUAAUAGUUAAAA
rnacentral:misc_RNA from 1 species